rnacentral:sRNA from 1 species
CGAGGUGGGCUGGGGAGGGUCUGGGCUGAGUGCUGAGUGAUACAGAAUGCUGGGGUGGAUGGAGGAAAGACCCUUAGAUUUUGGGGAUGAAAUAAAAAGCUGGGCAGAGGGAAGGUGGGAUUUACAUUUGACAUCAGUCUGUCACGUGGGGAAAACCAUGUGGAAGGAGGCCUGGGCCCUGGAAGCCGAGCUGGCAUGCUGACCUGCGUCUCCCCCCAGCUAAGCCAGCACAUGAAACUGAAGCUGCAGUUCACCGCCAGCGUGUCCCACCCUCCACCCGAGGCCCGGCCCCUCUCCCGCAAGAGCAGCCCUAGCAGCCCUGCUGUCCGGGACUUGGUGGAGAGGCAUCAGGCUAGCCUGGGCCGCUCCCAGUCCUUCUCCCACCAGCAGCCUUCCCGAAGCCACCUCAUGAGGUCAGGCAGUGUGAUGGAGCGCAGGGCCAUCACGCCCCCCGUGGCCUCUCCUGUUGGCCGCCCCCUCUACCUGCCCCCGGACAAGGCUGUAUUGUCUCUGGACAAGAUUGCCAAACGCGAGUGCAAGGUCCUGGUGGUGGAACCCGUCAAGUAGCACCGUGCCAGCUCUGUUCCCUCUUACACUCCAGAGACCCAACGCCCCCAGAGGGGAUCCCUGCUCCCGGGCUGUGCCUCCCCUGGGAUGCCUCCCAGACGGGGGUGAAGAGGCCUGGCAGAGCUGCCUGUCUGUGUCUGCUGAUGAGGGAUGGGGGAAGAAGCUGUGAAGUGGGCGGGCAUGGCUGGGACUAAGCCACCAGUAUUCCCCGAGUUCCUGUUGGGGGGGCUGGCCCCACCCCUAGGCCAGGGCAAGGGUUCCCAGAGCUCCCUUGCCCCCCGCCCUUUACCCUGGUUCUGAGUUUACAAAGUCUUUUCCUCAUUCCCGUUGAGUUCUUUCCCACCUCUGACAUUCCCUCCCUCCCUCCCGCAGGGCUGAGAUUAGAGGGUGGUGAUGGCUAAGGGCCCCUGACAGUGACCUUCUGUCUCAGGGGUUGGGGACAGGGCCAGGUAGCCUCCUCCCCCUUAUGUUUACGUUUGCAGCCUGAAGCACUUUAAUUUUUUUUUUUUUUUGGUCUGUUCCUGUAACUUAUUUUC